ACGCACGCUGGCGGCGUGCUUAACACCUGCAAGUCGAACGGAAAGGCCCCCUUGUGGGGUACUCGAGUGGCGAACGGGUGAGUAACACGUGAGUAACCUACCCUUGACUUUGGGAUAACUUCAGGAAACUGGGGCUAAUACCGGAUAGGAGCUCCUGCUGCAUGGUGGGGGUUGGAAAGUUUCGGCGGUUGGGGAUGGACUCGCGGCUUAUCAGCUUGUUGGUGGGGUAGUGGCUCACCAAGGCUUUGACGGGUAGCCGGCCUGAGAGGGUGACCGGCCACAUUGGGACUGAGAUACGGCCCAGACUCCUACGGGAGGCAGCAGUGGGGAAUAUUGCACAAUGGGCGGAAGCCUGAUGCAGCAACGCCGCGUGCGGGAUGACGGCCUUCGGGUUGUAAACCGCUUUCGCCUGUGACGAAGCGUGAGUGACGGUAAUGGGUAAAGAAGCACCGGCUAACUACGUG
rnacentral:rRNA from 1 species